AUUGAACGCUGGCGGCAGGCCUAACACAUGCAAGUCGAGCGGCAGCGGGAAAGUAGCUUGCUACUUUUGCCGGCGAGCGGCGGACGGGUGAGUAAUGCCUGGGAAAUUGCCCAGUCGAGGGGGAUAACAGUUGGAAACGACUGCUAAUACCGCAUACGCCCUACGGGGGAAAGCAGGGGACCUGCGGGCCUUGCGCGAUUGGCUAGGCCCAGGUGGGAUUAGCUAGUUGGUGAGGUAAUGGCUAACCAAGGCGACGAUACCUAGCUGGUCUGAGAGGAUGAUCAGCCACACUGGAACUGAGACACGGUCCAGACUCCUACGGGAGGCAGCAGUGGGGAAUAUUGCACAAUGGGGGAAACCCUGAUGCAGCCAUGCCGCGUGUGUGAAGAAGGCCUUCGGGUUGUAAAGCACUUUCAGCGAGGAGGAAAGGUUGAUGCCUAAUACGUAUCAACUGUGACGUUACUCGCAGAAGAAGCACCGGCUAACUCCGUGCCAGCCGCCGCGGUAAGAC
rnacentral:rRNA from 1 species